GGGCCUCAAUUUUUGAAUAUAAACAUUUAUUUCAUUCCUUCUCUAAUUGAUAUUUUCUUUAUAAAAAAAAUACUAAAAUUAAAAAUAUAAUCAAUAUUUUAUCAGAUUAAUCAAAAUGGAUAUAAAAAUAUCUCAAUGAUAUCAUCUUAAAAUUUAUUAGAAAAAUAAAAGAGAAAUAAUUUAGUAUUCAACCUAGAAAUAAUAUGAAAAAUAAGCUUUCUAAAAAUCUACAAGCAACAUAUAAAAUUAAACCAAUUUUCAAUUUAAAAGGAAUUUGGCGGAUAAAAUGUUCAAACUUCCAUUUCACUCCUUCCCUCAGCAAAUUCCUCCAAAACCCUAACUUUUCCACUUAGAUCACCAGUAAUAUCAUCACUACCCAAUUUUCCUCCUGACCCAAUUACCCGACCCAGUUCCUCCUCCCCAUUUUUCUCCUCCAAACUAAUCCCCACUAAAUUUCUCAACCUUUUCAACAACUUCAUCAACAGAAAAUCGAACCCUCUUCUUACUUUCUGCACCUCCAACUUUCAGUCCCCUGUCCAAUUUCUCAAUUUCAUUAAUACCCUUUUUAUCUGAUUCCACAAACUCGCCAUUAGCAGCUGACACAGCAACUGAAACAAGCUUAGCAAUCAAAAAAGACAAAACCAGAGCCACAAAAGCCGUCAGGAACAGCUGUUGAAGCUCCAUCAUAAUAUUAGCAAAGUAUGUAAUGGUAAUUUUAGAGAGAGAGAGAAAGGAAUUAGAGAUAGUGAUUUAUGAUGAUGAACAUAUAGAGGUAUAAAUCAUAAGUAUUACUAAUACUUUUAUAUUAUCAAAAUCAAAGAGCGGCGUAAUUAAUAAGCGGAUUUUUCCAUACCAGAGAGCAAAGCAUAUUCUUUUUCGCUUAGCGUUUCC
rnacentral:lncRNA from 1 species